UACGUAGGGUGCAAGCGUUGUUCGGAAUCAUUGGGCGUAAAGCGCGUGUAGGUGGCUAGUUAAGUCGGGUGUGAAACCCCAGGGCUCAACCCUGGGCCGGCAUCCGCGACUGCCGGGCUGGAGUACGGGAGGGGAGAGCGGAAUUCCUGGUGUAGCGGUGAAAUGCGUAGAUAUCAGGAGGAACACCGGUGGCGAAGGCGGCUCUCUGGACCGUAACUGACGCUGAGACGCGAAAGCUAGGGGAGCAAACAGG
rnacentral:rRNA from 1 species